UACGGGGGGAGCAAGCGUUGUUCGGAUUUACUGGGCGUAAAGGGCGCGUAGGCGGUCAGCACAAGUCAGUUGUGAAAUCUCCGGGCUUAACUCGGAAAGGUCAACUGAUACUGUGCGACUAGAGUGCGGAAGGGGCAACUGGAAUUCUCGGUGUAGCGGAUGAAAUGCGUAGAUAUCGAGAGGAACACCUGCGGCGAAGGCGGGUUGCUGGGCCGACACUGACGCUGAUGCGCGAAAGCCAGGGGAGGCGAACGGG
rnacentral:rRNA from 1 species